CCUACGGGUGGCUGCAGUGGGGAAUAUUGGACAAUGGGGGGAACCCUGAUCCAGCCAUGCCGCGUGUGUGAAGAAGGCCCUCGGGUUGUAAAGCACUUUCAGUGAGGAAGAACGCCUGGUGGUUAAUACCCAUCAGGAAAGACAUCACUCACAGAAGAAGCACCGGCUAACUCCGUGCCAGCAGCCGCGGUAAUACGGAGGGUGCGAGCGUUAAUCGGAAUUACUGGGCGUAAAGCGCGCGUAGGUGGCUUGAUAAGCCGGUUGUGAAAACCCCGGGCUCAACCUGGGAACGGCAUCCGGAACUGUCAAGCUAGAGUGCAGGAGAGGAAGGUAGAAUUCCCGGUGUAGCGGUGAAAUGCGUAGAGAUCGGGAGGAAUACCAGUGGCGAAGGCGGCCUUCUGGACUGACACUGACACUGAGGUGCGAAAGCGUGGGUAGCAAACAGGAUUAGAUACCCCAGUAGUC
rnacentral:rRNA from 1 species